GAUGAACGCUGGCGGCGUGCCUAACACAUGCAAGUCGAGCGAACAGACGAGGAGCUCGCUCCUCUGACGUUAGCGGCGGACGGGCGGGUAACACGUGGAUAACCUACCUAUAAGACUGGGAUAACUUCGGGAAACCGGAUCUAAUACCGGAUAAUAUAUUGAACCGCAUGGUUCAAGAGUGAAAGACGGUUUUGCUGUCACUAAUAGAUGGAUCCGCGCCGCAUUAGCUAGUUGGUAAGGUAACGGCUUACCAAGGCAACGAUGCGUAGCCGACCUGAGAGGGUGAUCGGCCACACUGGAACUGAGACACGGUCCAGACUCCUACGGGAGGCAGCAGUGGGGAAUCUUCCGCAAUGGGCGAAAGCCUGACGGAGCAACGCCGCGUGGGUGAUGAAGGUCUUCGGAUCGUAAAGCUCUGUUAUUAGGGAAGAACAAAUGUGUAAGUAACUAUGCACGUCUUGACGGUACCUAAUCAGAAAGCCCCGGCUAACUACGUG
rnacentral:rRNA from 1 species